rnacentral:lncRNA from 1 species
AACCCAUUGUUCAAGAGGACUAGACUGGGAAACACAAGCAAAAGAAUUACCAGCAGCAGAAAUAUCUGUCUGAGCAACAGUGGCUACUUGUGGAGAUGUCUGCUUACUUGCUCGAUAUUUAAGGAACUCAUUAUACUCCCCUUCAGAUACAGAAAAUCCCUGGUUACCUGUAGUAUCGUUCUGAGCAACAUAAGCAUUUUUGGGUUUUCGACUAUGUAAAGAAUAGCACACGUCACGAGUGUGACCAAG